GAAAUAGAACAAACCAUUCUUAGUAUAGAAUCAAAUCUUUUUAUAUAUAAACGAAACUUAUACUUUGCCUAGUUUAAGAAGUAUUCUAUCCAAGAAUACCAUUUAAUCUAUUAUAGAAUUUUGCGAAACUAUAUUCCAAAAGUAUAUUUGCGGCUCUGAAAUUUGCUGGCGAUCACGUUUUUUUCUAUGUGAUUUUUUAAAUGGGUCAUCUAAGAUCUCUAGAUCUGUUCGACGCUACGACACCUACGGAAUCUUUAAGAAUAUGCAGAAUUAUUAUAGAAUAUACGGGGUGAAGUGAGAAACGAAAGUUAAAGUACCGAUACGAUUCCGGUGGCUCUCAUGAUAAAGAAAAAUGCCAGCAAAGAUGGAAUGCCGGCAAUCAUCCCGCUUUAGCAAAAAAGGUAUCGAGAUUUGAAUUAGUUCUCUGAUGCCAGAAUAAAGGAAAUGUGUUCGGAACGAAUGGCAGCACAAGUUGUAGUCCCUCAAAGCAAAUUAGAUCGUAAUCAUAUUCCAAGUAUUGUGAUCCAGAAUCAAACUUUGAUCGCUCUACAGUGCAUGGAAUGGUCGCUGGUGUGCUCAGUUUCGGUACGGCAGCUGCAUCAGGUGAUUUGUAUAGUCGGAUAAUUAGGUCAAGCAAUAACAGCUCUGUUGGCGUAAUUGACGACCGUUAGAUAGAGCCGGCAACAAAGUAUGGAUGCCUUGAUGGAUGCGCUUUCCUAUCAGUUGGAAGAAUUUGGCAAAGCGGGUAGCCUUACCCGCAAACAAUGUCCCACGUCCGCGGGGCAAUUUUAGACAUUGACAUACUAGAGUAACCAGACAAAAGACAUCGGCAGUACUGCUCGGGAACAGCAAAUUGAGACGCAUCGCCUGUCGAUAUAAUCCGUUGAGGGAACGAUUGCAUAUUAUGAACUGCGAACUGAAAACACUACAGAAGCGUCUGAAGAAAAUUUCAUAUUAACAAGCUCAAUAGGCUCAGUAUCGUUUGUUACAUUAUGCUUAAAUUAAAUAAAAUGAAUAAAAUAAAAAGUUUGACAAAA